CCUACGGGAGGCAGCAGGGGGGAAUAUUGCACAAUGGGCGAAAGCCUGAUGCAGCGACGCCGCGUGAGGGAUGACGGCCUUCGGGUUGUAAACCUCUUUCAGCAGGGAAGAAGCGCAAGUGACGGUACCUGCAGAAGAAGCACCGGCUAACUACGUGCCAGCAGCCGCGGUAAUACGUAGGGUGCGAGCGUUGUCCGGAAUUAUUGGGCGUAAAGAGCUCGUAGGCGGUCUGUCGCGUCGGAUGUGAAAGCCCGGGGCUUAACCCCGGGUCUGCAUUCGAUACGGGCAGACUAGAGUGUGGUAGGGGAGAUCGGAAUUCCUGGUGUAGCGGUGAAAUGCGCAGAUAUCAGGAGGAACACCGGUGGCGAAGGCGGAUCUCUGGGCCAUUACUGACGCUGAGGAGCGAAAGCGUGGGGAGCGAACAGGAUUAGAUACCCUGGUAGUCCACGCCGUAAACGUUGGGAACUAGGUGUUGGCGACAUUCCACGUCGUCGGUGCCGCAGCUAACGCAUUAAGUUCCCCGCCUGGGGAGUACGGCCGCAAGGCUAAAACUCAAAGGAAUUGACGGCUGAGACGNGCGACGACGACGACGAGGAGAG
rnacentral:rRNA from 1 species